UACGUAGGGGGGCGAGCGUUGUCCGGAUUUAUUGGGCGUAAAGAGCUCGUAGGCGGUUGGGUAAGUCGGGUGUGAAAACUCAGGGCUCAACUCUGAGACGCCACUCGAUACUGCCCUGACUCGAGUCCGGUAGGGGAGCGUGGAAUUCCCGGUGUAGCGGUGAAAUGCGCAGAUAUCGGGAGGAACACCAGUGGCGAAGGCGGCGCUCUGGGCCGGAACUGACGCUGAGGAGCGAAAGCGUGGGGAGCAAACAGG
rnacentral:rRNA from 1 species